rnacentral:rRNA from 1 species
ACAGGCAUGCCUUAGUACGGCGAGUGAACAGGCAAGAGCUCAGAUUUGAAAGCCUUUUUGGCAUUGUAUUCUGAAGUAUUUAUCCUGAGUAAUGAUGUCUAAGUCUUCUGGAAAGGAGCGCCAUGGAGGGUGAUAGCCCCGUGUGACAUCCCACUCAUUGUAGGAUUUAUACGUGGAGUCGAGUUGUUUGGGAAUGCAGCUCAAACGGGUGGUAUGCUCCAUCUAAAGCUAAAUAUCUGUGAGAGACCGAUAGCGAACAAGUACUGUGAAGGAAAGAUGAAAAGAACUUUGAAAAGAGAGUGAAAAAGUACGUGAAAUUGUUGAAAUGGAAGGGUAGGCCGCUAACCAUGUAGAACCGUGUUUGGGGGGAAGAUAAAAGCUGAAGAAUGUGGCUCCUCGGAGUGUUAUAGCUUCAGUCAAUAUUCCCAUCCGAGCGCGAGGAUCUCAGGUUCUACUAAAUGGUGGUCUACCACCCGUCUUGA